rnacentral:rRNA from 1 species
UCUGGGACAAGCCCUGGAAACGGGGUCUAAUACCGGAUAACACCCCCUCUCGCAUGGGAGGGGGUUCAAAGCUCCGGCGGUGCAGGAUGAGCCCGCGGCCUAUCAGCUUGUUGGUGAGGUAGUGGCUCACCAAGGCGACGACGGGUAGCCGGCCUGAGAGGGCGACCGGCCACACUGGGACUGAGACACGGCCCAGACUCCUACGGGAGGCAGCAGUGGGGAAUAUUGCACAAUGGGCGAAAGCCUGAUGCAGCGACGCCGCGUGAGGGAUGACGGCCUUCGGGUUGUAAACCUCUUUCAGCAGGGAAGAAGCGAAAGUGACGGUACCUGCAGAAGAAGCGCCGGCUAACUACGUGCCAGCAGCCGCGGUAAUACGUAGGGCGCAAGCGUUGUCCGGAAUUAUUGGGCGUAAAGAGCUCGUAGGCGGCUUGUCACGUCGGUUGUGAAAGCCCGGGGCUUAACCCCGGGUCUGCAGUCGAUACGGGCAGGCUAGAGUUCGGUAGGGGAGAUCGGAAUUCCUGGUGUAGCGGUGAAAUGCGCAGAUAUCAGGAGGAACACCGGUGGCGAAGGCGGAUCUCUGGGCCGAUACUGACGCUGAGGAGCGAAAGCGUGGGGAGCGAACAGGAUUUAGAUACCCUGGUAGUCCACGCCGUAAACGGUGGGCACUAGGUGUGGGCAACAUUCCACGUUGUCCGUGCCGCAGCUAACGCAUUAAGUGCCCCGCCCUGG